GAUGAACGCUAGCGGCAGGCUUAAUACAUGCAAGUCGAGGGGCAGCGCAGUGUAGCAAUACUGGGUGGCGACCGGCAAACGGGUGCGGAACACGUACGCAACCUUCCUUCAAGUGGGGGAUAGCCCACCGAAAGGUGGAUUAAUACCUCGUAACAUAAUGGAGUGGCAUCACUCUAUUAUUAUAGCUCCGGCGUUUGAAG
rnacentral:rRNA from 1 species